rnacentral:rRNA from 1 species
UGGGGAAUAUUGGACAAUGGGCGCAAGCCUGAUCCAGCCAUGCCGCGUGAGUGAUGAAGGCCCUAGGGUUGUAAAGCUCUUUCACCGGUGAAGAUAAUGACGGUAACCGGAGAAGAAGCCCCGGCUAACUUCGUGCCAGCAGCCGCGGUAAUACGAAGGGGGCUAGCGUUGUUCGGAUUUACUGGGCGUAAAGCGCACGUAGGCGGACUAUUAAGUCAGGGGUGAAAUCCCGGGGCUCAACCCCGGAACUGCCUUUGAUACUGGUAGUCUUGAGUUCGAGAGAGGUGAGUGGAAUUCCGAGUGUAGAGGUGAAAUUCGUAGAUAUUCGGAGGAACACCAGUGGCGAAGGCGGCUCACUAGCUCGAUACUGACGCUGAGGUGCGAAAGCGUGGGGAGCAAACAGG